AUUGAACGCUGGCGGCAGGCCUAACACAUGCAAGUCGAGCGAGCGGCGGACGGGUGAGUAAUGCCUGGGAAUUGCCCAGUCGAGGGGGAUAACAGUUGGAAACGACUGCUAAUACCGCAUACGAUUGGAUUGCCCAGGUGGUAUUAGCUCGUGGGUGAGGUAAUGGCUCACCAAGGCGACGAUCCGUAGCUGGUCUGAGAGGAUGAUCAGCCCACCUGGAACUGAGACACGGUCCAGACUCCUACUGGAGGCAGCAGUGGGGAAUAUUGCACAAUGGGGGAACCCCUGAUUCAGCCAUGCCGCGUGGUGGAAGAAGGCCUUCGGGUUGUAAAGCCCUUUCAGCGAGGAGGCGUUACUCGCAGAAGAAGCACCGGCUAACUCCGUGCCAGCAGCCGCGGUAAUUC
rnacentral:rRNA from 1 species